CCAUAAGAAGAGCAUUUUUAAGGAGGACCAACCUAUUUUCUUUUGAGGCUUAAGAGAAAACAAAAUCCUCAUCUAGGCUUCUGACACCCUGAAACAGCUUCUUUGGGUGGAGAUGUUAACAUGCUUUGUCAAACAACUACCUUGUGGUUCAGGCCGAUGCCCCCCAAGUCCUCAGCCCCUGCUGUGUGGGUGAACAGUGCUGCCCAGGGCUGAGGCCUAAGCUAUAGGAAGAGGCAAGUGUCCUCCGAAGCUGGGGCCAAACACUGC
rnacentral:lncRNA from 1 species